CGGACGGAUCUACAAACACUGUCCUGAAAGACGUGGUGAGUCAAAACCAACACAAGACUUCCUUACCUCCACCAAACUCGAGAUCCUUCUCUUCCUCACACUCCUCCUCCCCAUCAUGGGCCUCAGUGGUGCACCGGUAGCCCUUACUCUUCAACACGUGGCAGAUCACCACCCCCAACAGGCCGAGCAGGAAGAAAACAGGGACCAGGACGAAGGCGAUGUAGUCCGGGUUAGUCGCUCCUUCUUUCCCAGCAGUUGUAUUCUGACCAUCUGAAGGAAAGAGAGGGACGAAGAGGAGCAAGAAAGAGGGAUCACUCUACAUGUUUUUCCAACGGGACACAGUAGAACAGAACAGAGGAACGCCAUUGAUGGCAACCUGAUAUCCAAAGGGAGUCUGAGGGCACAUUUUGGGCCAAGCAGCUGAGGAUUUAAAUGAGCUGCCACAUAACGGAGAUUUCAUUAACCCUUCAUGGGUCAAUCCAAUCUGCUGCUCUCUCUGGACUCUAACUGUAUGAUCUGGUGCAAGCUGUGCCACUUUUACAGCUCUGGGGACUCACUUGAUUUAAAUAAAAACAUAUAAUGCUCA